rnacentral:lncRNA from 1 species
UGAGAUGGACCUGCCUGUGAAGUUUCCUCUUUCUCGGUCAAAUCGUGCAACAUACAUUGCAAUUAUACUUUGAUAUUAGGGAGAAAGCCUCUAGCCCAUGUACCUGCCUCCUGGGGAGUACACCUGUAAAGACUAUUCUGAUGUCCUUCUACAGUUGUGAGCAGACUUGAUAAUUGGACUCUCAAUUCUUACACUUUGGCCCCCGCAUCUUCAUCCUGGCGGUCAUUAACUAUGCAUUCUUCCUGCACUCUCCCUCUAAGCUGCAUUGGUAAUGUCCU